rnacentral:rRNA from 1 species
GAAAAGAAACUAACAAGGAUUCCCCUAGUAACGGCGAGUGAAGCGGGAAGAGCUCAAAUUUGAAAUCUGGUAGCCUUCGGCUGCCCGAGUUGUAAUCUAGAGAAGUGUUUUCCGUGCCGGCCCAUGUACAAGUCCCUUGGAACAGGGCGUCAUAGAGGGUGAGAAUCCCGUCCUUGACAUGGACCCCCGGUGCUUUGUGAUACACUUUCAACGAGUCGAGUUGUUUGGGAAUGCAGCUCAAAAUGGGUGGUGAAUUCCAUCUAAAGCUAAAUAUUGGCGAGAGACCGAUAGCGAACAAGUACCGUGAGGGAAAGAUGAAAAGCACUUUGGAAAGAGAGUUAAACAGUACGUGAAAUUGUUGAAAGGGAAACGAUUGAAGUCAGUCAUGCUCUUUGGAUUCAGCCGUUCUGCGGUGUAUUUCCAUUGAGUGGGGUCAACAUCAGUUUUGAUCGCUGGAUAAAGGCACUAGGAAGGUAGCACUCUCGGGUGAACUUAUAGCCUAGCGUCAUAUACAGUGAUUGGGACUGAGGAACGCAGCAUGCCUUUAUGGCCGGGAUUCGUCCACGUACAUGCUUAGGAUGUUGACAUAAUGGCUUUAAACGACCC